UUUUAUUUGAGAGUUUGAUCCUGGCUCAGGAUGAACGCUGGCGGCGUGCCUAACACAUGCAAGUUGAGCGAUUUACUUCGGUAAAGAGCGGCGGACGGGUGAGUAACGCGUGGGUAACCUACCCUGUACACACGGAUAACAUACCGAAAGGUAUGCUAAUACGGGAUAAUAUAUUUGAGAGGCAUCUCUUAAAUAUCAAAGGUGAGCCAGUACAGGAUGGACCCGCGUCUGAUUAGCUAGUUGGUAAGGUAACGGCUUACCAAGGCGACGAUCAGUAGCCGACCUGAGAGGGUGAUCGGCCACAUUGGAACUGAGACACGGUCCAAACUCCUACGGGAGGCAGCAGUGGGGAAUAUUGCACAAUGGGCGAAAGCCUGAUGCA
rnacentral:rRNA from 1 species